AAACAAUUCGAAGCACAACCACAUCCAACCAAAAGAUUGAAAACCGUAGAAAAACGAAAAACAUAUACUCCAUCAAUCGAAGCAUGGGCAUGAUGGAAACCUCUCCCAUCACCAUAGCUCCUAUGCUAAUAAGAAACAUAGCAACCGCCAUGUUUAUCUUUGCUGAUAAAUCCCUUGUUGCCUUGGCCCAGAAGCACAAACUUCUUGAACAUAUUCGUUAUCUUCUUGUCACUUCAUUUCUCUUCUUUCUACGUUUACUUCCUUCUCUAUUCCCUUCUUUAAGCCCUAGUUCUGAUCUCCAAGAUCAUGAUAAUAUUCAGUACCAUCAUCUUAAGCCACUCAAGACUGCAAACUACUUGCCUUCAUCAGGUUAUGGAGAUUCAGGUAUUGCUCGAGCACUCACACAGCUACUGUCAAUCGUUAAUGAUAUUCCGGUUAGCUCAAGAAAGUAUGAAAUAGUCAGAUCAUUAGCUGAGAAGGUUGUAGAUGAUAACCAUGGAGAAAAUAAUGAGGCCUUACGUGAGGUCAACCGUGGGGUUUUAUCAGCGGCUUUUUCAAGGACACUUAGCCAGCUUGAAGCCGCCAUGAUGGAGAUAGCGCAUGACGGGAGUGAAAAUGGCGGCUCAAGGACUGGACCGGUUAAGCGUCGCUUGAACCAGAUUUUAAAGGCUGCUAGGGCUGUUGGGGAUGGGAGUUGGGCCCGGUCUGGUAGAGGUAGAGAAGGAGUGGACCGGUCCGAGGAGAAGUUGGCGGCUGAGCUGCUUUGGUUGGGUCAGAAAUUGUCAGCUUGUGGAUGUGGGGAGGAAGCUGUUCGGAGGUGGGCUUCGGCUUCAAACUUGGCUAGGCUUGCUCUCUCAGCAGAGGCUCGCCUACAAGGUUCGUUGGUGAAAGUCUCAGCCUUCCUGUUGAAACAAGCCAGAGAAUUGGGACUUGAUGAAGCAGGAGAAGGCCAGAGGGAGCCACAGCGACAAACAAAGAUGAAGAUGCUAUUGUCCUGGCUGCCAUUGCUAUGCAGAGCAAGCAAUGGCACUGAUGCACCUGUCCUCAGCAUGAGGGAAAGGGCUGAGCUAGAGAUAGUGUUGGAAGAGAUGAUAGACAUGCUGGAGCACGAAGAAGAGCAGGAGCAGGUCUUGUCUUUGUGGCUGCACCACUUCACAUAUACUCCAUCUUCUGACUGGCCUAACCUCCGUGCCUCUUAUGCUAGAUGGUGCACUGCUUCUCGUCAGCUCUUACUUCUCAAUUGAAAUUGACAGUAUCGUCUUUCAACGUGAAAGGGAUGUUUGCGGCUUAAAAAUAGACGUACGUCUACUAUUUGCAUGACUUUCCCAGUUCCUAAGGAUUUUUCUUCUGCAUUCCACUAUUUGAGGCAAACAUGUACAAAUAUGGCCCAUCUUCAUCCUUGGAAUGGCACUCUUCAGUGUUGAACAGAGCUUUAUUUACUAGGGAUGCGAUGGGACCAUUUAGGCGUAAUCCACCAGUUUUCGCCCCACGAAUCACCUGGCGCAUAGAAUUAAGCAGGCGUCCAUAUGUUAAUCCAGGUUCAUUUUGCACUGCUUGGAUGAAGCAAUACGUCAAGGCACCAGUCGAAACAUUGCCUGCCAAUGCCUGCAAAAUUGAAACUACACUAAAGUGUAAACAAAAUAUGGUGUGAUAUGUUCAAACCUACAAGUUCUUGUCUUGUUCAAUUUGCAUUGGAGCUUAACCACAACAGGAUUAGGAAUAUUUUCUAAAUUA